rnacentral:rRNA from 1 species
UACGGAGGGUGCAAGCGUUAUCCGGAUUCACUGGGUUUAAAGGGUGCGUAGGUGGCUAUAUAAAGUCAGUGGUGAAAGCCCGCGGCUCAACCCGUGGAAUUGCCAUUGAAACUGCAUAGCUUGAGUACAGUUGAAGUGGGCGGAAUACAUCUGUAGCGGUGAAAUGCUUAGAUAUGAUGUAGACACGAUUGCGAAGGCAGCUCACUAAGCUGUAACUGACACUGAGGCACGAAAGCGUGGGUAGCGACAGC